AGUGAACGCUGGCGGUAGGCCUAACACAUGCAAGUCGAACGGCAGCACAGUAAGAGCUUGCUCUUACGGGUGGCGAGUGGCGGACGGGUGAGGAAUACAUCGGAAUCUACUUUUUCGUGGGGGAUAACGUAGGGAAACUUACGCUAAUACCGCAUACGACCUACGGGUGAAAGCAGGGGAUCUUCGGACCUUGCGCGAUUGAAUGAGCCGAUGUCGGAUUAGCUAGUUGGCGGGGUAAAGGCCCACCAAGGCGACGAUCCGUAGCUGGUCUGAGAAGAUGAUCAGCCACACUGGAACUGAGACACGGUCCAGACUCCUACGGGAGGCAGCAGUGGGGAAUAUUGGACAAUGGGCGCAAGCCUGAUCCAGCCAUACCGCGUGGGUGAAGAAGGCCUUCGGGUUGUAAAGCCCUUUUGUUGGGAAAGAAAAGCAGCAGGUUAAUACCCCGCUGUUCUGACGGUACCCAAAGAAUAGGCACCGGCUAACUUCGUG
rnacentral:rRNA from 1 species